ACGCUCGACACCUACGGAGGCAGCAGUGAGGAAUAUUGGUCAAUGGGCGCUAGCCUGAACCAGCCAAGUAGCGUGAAGGAUGAAGGCUCUAUGGGUCGUAAACUUCUUUUAUAUAAGAAUAAAGUGCAGUAUGUAUACUGUUUUGUAUGUAUUAUAUGAAUAAGGAUCGGCUAACUCCGUGCCAGCAGCCGUGGUAAUCUGAGGCGGGCGUGGACGAAGGC
rnacentral:rRNA from 1 species